rnacentral:rRNA from 1 species
UACGGAGGGUGCAAGCGUUGUCCGGAUUUAUUGGGUUUAAAGGGUGCGUAGGCGGUUCUUUAAGUCCGGGGUGAAAGCCCACUGCUCAACAGUGGAACUGCCCUGGAAACUGGAGAACUUGAGUACAGACGAGGGCGGCGGAAUGGAUGGUGUAGCGGUGAAAUGCAUAGAUACCAUCCAGAACCCCGAUUGCGUAGGCAGCUGACUAGGCUGGUACUGACACUGAGGCACGAAAGCGUGGGGAGCGAACAGG